GGGCCCGCACAAGUAGUGGAGCAUGUGGUUUAAUUCGAAGAUACGCGCAGAACCUUACCAACACUUGACAUGUUCGUCGCGACUUUAAGAGAUUAAAGUUUUCGGUUCGGCCGGACGAAACACAGGUGCUGCAUGGCUGUCGUCAGCUCGUGUCGUGAGAUGUUGGUUAAGUCCCGCAACGAGCGCAACCCUCACUUUUAGUUGCCAUCAUUAAGUUGGGCACUCUGAAAGAACUGCCAGUGAUAAGCUGGAGGAAGGUGGGGAUGACGUCAAGUCCUCAUGGCCCUUACGUGUUGGGCUACACACGUGCUACAAUGGUAUCUACAACAGGAGCAAACUGCGAGUUAAGCA
rnacentral:rRNA from 1 species